CAAGAUGCACAGCUUAAUUUAGCCAAGUGUGAAGAAAGGGCACUGAAUACUAAUCCUUCAGAUGGUAGAGUAAUGCUCAUUGAUGGCACAUCAAUCAUCUACCGGGCUUACCACAAGCUUUUAGCAAAAUUGCACCAUGGCCAUCUAUUACAUGCUGAUAGAAAUGGAGAUUGGGUUUUAACUAUAUUUUCAGCUUUAUCUCUUAUAAUUGAUGUCUUGGAAUUUAUUCCUUCCCAUGUGGCGGCA